UACGAAGGGGGCUAGCGUUGCUCGGAAUCACUGGGCGUAAAGGGUGCGUAGGCGGGUCUUUAAGUCAGGGGUGAAAUCCUGGAGCUCAGCUCCAGAACUGCCUUUGAUACUGAGGAUCUUGAGUUCGGGAGAGGUGAGUGGAACUGCGAGUGUAGAGGUGAAAUUCGUAGAUAUUCGCAAGAACACCAGUGGCGAAGGCGGCUCACUGGUCCGAUACUGACGCUGAGGCACGAAAGCGUGGGGAGCAAACAGG
rnacentral:rRNA from 1 species